AAUCCCUCCCAGCAGUGGGCAAAGCUGAGAACCAACAACCCUUCAUCACACAACAGAAGGUUCAAAGGCUUAAGAAUGCGAUCACAACCAGUUAUAGGUUCCUUUGUUCCUUCUCCACUCCCACGGCUUCACUUGAGUAGUUUUUA
rnacentral:sRNA from 1 species